AACGAACGCCAGCGGCGUGGAUUAGGCAUGCAAGUCGAACGGAGACCGUAGCAAUACGGUCUUAGUGGCGGAAGGGUGAGUAAUGCAUAGAUAACCUGCCCCCGAGACCGGGAUAACUUCGGGAAACCGAAGCUAAGACCGGAUGGGGUCGCUGGAGCGCAUGUUUCGGCGACUAAAGGAGGCCUCUGAAAAUGCUCCCGCUCGGGGAGGGAUCUAUGUCCUAUCAGCUAGUUGGUGAGGGUAACGGCCCACCAAGGCAUUGACGGGUAGCCGGCCUUAGCGGGUGUCCGGCCACAUUGGGACUGAGACACUGCCCAAACUCCUACGGGAGGCUGCAGUCGAGGAUCUUCCGCAAUGGGCGCAAGCCUGACGGAGCGACGCCGCGUGUGGGAUGAAGGCCUUCGGGUUGUAAACCACUGUCACUCGUUAAGAAAGGGUUGGGGGUUAACAGCCUCCAGCACUGACGAAGGCGAGAGAGGAAGCCACGGCUAACUUCGUGCCAGCAGCCGCGGUAAGACGAAGGUGGCGAGCGUUGUUCGGAAUCACUGGGCAUAAAGCGCACGUAGGCGGUGCCGUAAGUCGGAUGUGAAAUCCCUCGGCCUAACCGAGGAACUGCGUCCGAUACUGCGGUGCUUGAGGAUCAGAGGGGUGCAUGGAAUUUCCGGUGGAGCGGUGAAAUGCGUUGAUAUCGGAAGGAACUCCGGCGGCGAAAGCGAUGCACUGGCUGAUUUCUGACGCUGAGGUGCGAAAGCCAGGGGAGCAAACGGGAUUAGAUACCCCGGUAGUCCUGGCCGUAAACGAUGGGUACUAGGUAGGGGGAUUUCAAACGUCUCUCUGCUGGAGUGAAUAUAUUAAGUACCCCGCCUGGGAAGUACAGUCGCAAGGCUG
rnacentral:rRNA from 1 species